CCCCCAUCACUCUAUAUAAAAGGCAAAGCAAACGUCCACCAGGGACAGGCACCGAGCAAAGAAGUCUGCAUUGAAGUCUACCAGAAAACCCCCUGCUCACCUGGUGUUAUCCAAGUAAAAGGUCAUCAUGCCGGACCCCGAAAUGGAGUGUUUUGGCGCGGCGGCCAUUUACCUCCGCAAGCCAGAAAAAGAGCGACUUGAAGCUCAAAACACUCCCUUUGAUGCUAAAACGGCAUACUUUGUGUCUGAACCCAACGAGAUGUACCUCAAGGGGAAACUUGUUAAGAAAGAGGGUGGCAAAGCCACAGUGGAGACACUCUGUGGAAAGGUGAGAAUGAAGGAACUAGAAUU